rnacentral:rRNA from 1 species
GAGGAUCUUACGAGAACUUGCCCUUCGGGGUAGAUCUCCCACCCUUUGUUUACAUUACCUUUGUUGCUUUGGCGGGCCCGUCUCACGACCACCGGCGGCAGAUUAGCUGGUCAGUGCCCGCCAGAGGACCCCAACUCUAAAUUUUAUGUCGUCUGAGUACUAUAUAAUAGUUAAAACUUUCAACAACGGAUCUCUUGGUUCUGGCAUCGAUGAAGAACGCAGCGAAAUGCGAUAAGUAAUGUGAAUUGCAGAAUUCAGUGAAUCAUCGAACCUUUGAACGCACAUUGCGCCCCUUGGUAUUCCGGGGGGCAUGCCUGUUCGAGCGUCACUAACACACUCAAGCUCUGCUUGGUAUUGGGAAUCGCUGGUCAUCUAGUGUACCCUAAAAUCAGUGGUAGUGCCAUUCGGCUUCAAGCGUAGUAAAUCUCUCGCUCUGGAUGUCUGGGUGGUGCCCGCCAACAACCUCAUUUUUUCAGGUUGACCUCGGAUCAGGUAGGGAUACCCGCUGAACUUAAGCAUAU